CAUGAGCCGAGAGCUGAGGCACAGGAGCCCUGUAUUUGUCACUCGUUCUUGGGCAGGUUGACGCCAGCGUUUUUGCCGAGAUAAAUUACAGGGCAGAGCUGAGUCUCGACAACUUGACGUUCAGUGCUAUUUAUCCCACCACCCUGCCAAUAGAGCUGACACCUCUUCCUCGUAACGUAUGGCUUUGUUUACAGCAAACACCGCUGCUGGGCAGAAUCAAUACAGGAUGCGUCUGUCAGAAGAUGCUGACUGGUCUGCAGAUGAUCCAGAGAAGGGUGGAGGACCAGGGAUAUGACAUCUGCCGUAGACCUAUUUUGGCAGGAGGUGAAUUGCAGUGGGUUGAAUUUCUCUGGGAGGCUGGACCAGAGGGAUUGAGACCAGCAUCUCAAAGCCCUUCAUGAUGGUGGAUGUCAGAACUGCCAGGCAGAAGUCGUUAAGGCAGGUUUACCUUGAUUUUCUUAGGCAACAGGAUGAUCGUGGUCCUCCUAAAGCUGGCAGGAACCUCAGACAGAAGAAGGAGAGGUUAAAAAGGUCUGCAAAUACCUCCAUCAGCUGAUCAAUGCGAGAUCUAAGGACACGACUGGGGACUCCAUCCGAUGCUUUCCACGGGUUCACUUUCUGGAAGACCAAUCUUAUGCCUGUAAUGGUGACUGUGUUUUCAGGUGCGCUGGAGGCCUCUUCUAUUCAACAUGUGCAUAGAACGAGUUAAGCUCAUCAGGAAGGGAUACACUGUGGUCAAUGCUGCCUGACUUUGCCUUGUAGAUGUUACAUCAUGUGAGCCCUGCCACAACUAAUGGUUAGUCCGGGACCUGAUUUUGGACUGGUACUGUCUCAUGGCAUCCCUAGUAGCUCUACGGAGAUCAUAUCUCAAUUUAAGAGAUCAUUUCUCGAUUCCAUAAAACAAGCAUUUGUUGGCUCUGGACCUGUACUCACUGGAGUUUAGAAGAAUGAUGGGGGAUCUCAUUAAAAGCUACUGAAUAUUGAAAGGCCUAGAUCAGUGGUCCCCAACCUCUGGGCCAUGGACCGAUACCGGGCCGCAAAGAAUGCAGGUGUGCAGCGGUAGCCGGGACGCACCCAGCACAACUUUAAGAAAAAAGCUGAAAUAAACUAGCUAAUUAAUUAGGUGCCGCCCGGCACGUAAAUGUUGGUCCAGCUGGGCAAGGUUGUAUGGAAGACCGGAAGUUGCCAAUGCUGCAAGUCUCCCCUCUCCACGCCACCGAUGUUGUCCAAGGGAAGGGCACUAGGGCCGAUACAGCUUGGCACUGGUGUCGUCACAAAGCAAUGUGUGGUUAAGUGCCUUGCUCAAAGACACAACACGUUGUCUCAGCUGAAGCUCGAAUUAGCGACCUUCAGAUCACUAGACCGACACCUUAACCACUUGGCCAUGCGCCAACACUAUCUCUAAAUAAAUAAUAAUAAUAAUUCCA